CCAAGGAUAUUCUGUGCCGUCUGGAGCAUACAACGUUGAGGAAGGUGACUGCCAACACAGCCAUCUACUAUGACCCCAACCCCCAGAGCACAGUGGUGGCAGAGGAUCAGGAGUGGGUGAAUGUCUACUAUGAAAUGCCUGACUUCGACGUGGCCCGAAUCUCCCCCUGGCUGUUGCGGGUGGAGCUGGAUCGGAAGCACAUGACUGACCGGAAGCUCACCAUGGAGCAGAUUGCUGAAAAGAUCAAUGCUGGUUUUGGUGACGACUUGAAUUGCAUCUUUAAUGAUGACAAUGCAGAGAAGCUGGUGCUCCGUAUUCGCAUCAUGAACAGCGAUGAGAACAAGAUGCAAGAGGUAAUGGGGGUCCUAGAAGAAGUCGAUGUGUCACAUGUGUAAAACUCAUGAAUCAUGUUAGAGACCAAAGAAAAGAAGAUGCAAUCAACAUUGAGGGGCGGCUGGGCGUGGUGGCUCAUGCCUGUAAUGCCAGCACUUUGGGAGGCUGAGGCGGGUGGAUCACCUAAACUCGGGAGUUCGAGACCAGCCUGAUCGACAUGGAGAAACCCCGUUUGUACUAAAAAUACAAAAUUAGCCGGGCAUGGUAGUGCAUGCCUGUAAUCCCAGCUACUCGGGAGGCUGAGGC
rnacentral:sRNA from 1 species